UAGAAAGGGCGGCNGGUAUAGGCUGCAAGUCGAGCGAGAACCCCGCAAGGGGGGACAGCGGCAAACGGGGUAGUAAUGUGUCGGAACGUGCCCAGAGGACGGGGAUAGCGGCGGGAAACUGCCGGUAAUACCCGAUGAUCUCGAGAGAGCAAAGGUGUGAUUCCGCCUUUGGAGCGGCCGACAUGGUAUUAGCUAGUUGGCGGGGUAACGGCCCACCAAGGCUUUUGAUGCCUAGGGGAUGUGAGAGCAUGAUCCCCACCAUUGGGACUGAGACACUGCCCAGACACCUACGGGUGGCUGCAGUCGAGAAUCUUCGUCAAUGGGCGAAAGCCUGAACGAGCGACGCCGCGUGCGGGAUGAAGGCCUUUGGGUUGUAAACCGCUGUUCGAGGGGGAUGAAGGCAUUUCAGGUACUCCUGAAUGUUUUGACAGAGCCCCUGGAGGAAGCACGGGCUAAGUUUCGUGGCCACCAGUCCGCGNUAAAUACGAAACUUGUCGCCCAACGUUAAUUUCGGAAUCCACUGGGGNCUUAACAGGGUGGCGUAAGGCCGGCUUAUUUUCAAGUUUCAGGUUGUUGAAAGCCCCCUUCCUCUACAAACCCCCGAAGGAAACUGGCUGCUUUGUAAAACCCCGAAUGGCUUC
rnacentral:rRNA from 1 species